rnacentral:rRNA from 1 species
UACGUAGGUGGCAAGCGUUUGUCCGGAUUUACUGGGCGUAAAGAGCGCGCAGGCGGUUGAUUAAGUCGAAUGUGAAAGCCCCCGGCUCAACUGGGGAGGGUCACGCGAUACUGAUCGACUCGAAGGCAGGAGAGGGUAGUGGAAUUCCCGGUGUAGUGGUGAAAUGCGUAGAUAUCGGGAGGAACACCAGUGGCGAAGGCGACUACCUGGCCUGUUCUUGACGCUGAGGCGCGAAAGCUAGGGGAGCAAACGGG